rnacentral:rRNA from 1 species
GGGGGAUAUUGGACAAUGGGGGGAACCCUGAUCCAGCGACGCCGCGUGAGUGAAGAAGUAUCUCGGUAUGUAAAGCUCUGUCAGCAGGGAAGAAAGAAAUGACGGUACCUGACCAAGAAGCCCCGGCUAACUACGUGCCAGCAGCCGCGGUAAUACGUAGGGGGCAAGCGUUAUCCGGAUUUACUGGGUGUAAAGGGAGCGUAGACGGUAGUGCAAGUCUGAAGUGAAAGGCGGGGGCCCAACCCCCGGACUGCUUUGGAAACUGUGCAGCUGGAGUGCAGGAGAGGUAAGUGGAAUUCCUAGUGUAGCGGUGAAAUGCGUAGAUAUUAGGAGGAACACCAGUGGCGAAGGCGGCUUACUGGACUGUAACUGACGUUGAGGCUCGAAAGCGUGGGGAGCAACAGG